rnacentral:rRNA from 1 species
GUGGGGAAUAUUGGACAAUGGGCGAAAGCCUGAUCCAGCCAUGCCGCGUGUGUGAAGAAGGUCUUCGGAUUGUAAAGCACUUUAAGUUGGGAGGAAGGGCAUUAACCUAAUACGUUAGUGUUUUGACGUUACCGACAGAAUAAGCACCGGCUAACUUCGUGCCAGCAGCCGCGGUAAUACGAAGGGUGCAAGCGUUAAUCGGAAUUACUGGGCGUAAAGCGCGCGUAGGUGGAUCGUUAAGUUGGAUGUGAAAGCCCCGGGCUCAACCGGUGAACUGCAUCCAAAACUGGCGAGCUAGAGUACGGUAGAGGGUGGUGGAAUUUCCUGUGUAGCGGUGAAAUGCGUAGAUAUAGGAAGGAACACCAGUGGCGAAGGCGACCACCUGGACUGAUACUGACACUGAGGUGCGAAAGCGUGGGGAGCAAACAGGAUUAGAAACCCUUGUAGUCC